UUUGUCCUACGGGAGGCAGCAGUGGGGGAUAUUGCACAAUGGGGGGAACCCUGAUGCAGCGACGCCGCGUGGGUGAAGGAGCGUUUCGGCGCGUAAAGCCCUAUCGGCAGGGAAGAAGGAGGACGGUACCUGACUAAGAAGCCCCGGCUAACUACGUGCCAGCAGCCGCGGUAAUACGUAGGGGGCAAGCGUUAUCCGGAUUUAUUGGGUUUAAAGGGUGCGUAGGCGGACUGUUAAGUCAGCGGUAAAAGCCCGGGGCUCAACCCCGGCGAGCCGUUGAAACUGG
rnacentral:rRNA from 1 species